ensembl:lncRNA
GGGAGGGUAAGCCCUGAGGACAGGACUCCUGGCUUUGUCUGGUUGGGUGCAUGGGCCGGUUCACAUGAGUGGCUGUGUGGGCCUUUGGGUUGAGAAGUACACCGGCCUCCCCGGGAUUCUGGGCGGUAGCUACCAGCCCCUUGUCUAGAAAGAGGCUCCUCGCUCGCCGCGAGGGGUGAGGGCGCACGGCGCCUGGGAUCCGCCCCUUGGGCCCCUCCCCGACGCAGCCGCCGCCCACCCGCCGGCCUUGGGCUCCCGCACAUCUGGAGGUUCUCAGCGCAUCUGGGCAGCCGGCGCCGAAGCAUGAACAGCUCGCAGGCGGGCGCCACAGCCCGGGGCGCCUGGCAGAGCUCCUGCUGCAACCAGUCGGGGGUGCCGCCGGAGCCCCCCGAGGGGCCGCGCGCCGUGCAGGCGGCGGUGCUGGGCGUGCUGUCGCUGCUCGUGCUCUGCGGGGUCCUCUUCCUGGGCGCCGGCCUCCUGCUCCGCGCCCAGGGUUUAACAGCGCUGUUGGCCCGAGAGCUGCGCGCGUCCCGGGAGGGCGAGCCCGGUGGCGCCAGCGUCGAUGACGACGACUCCUAGGCGCCCGGCUGCGUUCGGGGGUCGCGGCCUCCCGGCGGUCCGUGGACUCCAUGCCAGAUUUUGAGGGAGGGGCCCCCCAGCACCCGACGUCUGCAGUGGGGAACCCUGCCGCGAUGCUGGUGCGCUCGCACAGAGGAGCCCAGGAUUUGGUGUUAAUCCCGGACAGCUGUGCUGCACUGGACUUGCUGAGCUGUGGACUUCUCACCUCAGGCACGCCGCCCCCACCCCCUUGGAGAGACGGCUGGCCAGGGCAGUGAGGGGUGUGUGUGACUGCUCCUGGCCCAAGGGCAGCGGGGCUGGGCGCAGGGACAUUCCCCACUGCCCUUUGCUGUGUCCUGGGGGAGGGGCUGGAACUCCUUCUCUUUACGGUAUCCAGUUCACCUGCCCCCUUGCCCACAACAUUCUGCGUAUUUCCGUCCUGUCUCCCAUCUCCAGCCUGUGCACUUUCCUCCUUCUCCAGCUGGGCCAGAGUCUCCAUGUCUGCUGUGAGGCCUUCAUUUUACAAAUGGGAAAGCUCAGAGGGAAGAAAGUGACCUGCUCGAGUGAAUGCCAGAGCUCAAACUGGACCCUGGGGCUCCUGAUUGAUUUUGAGCUCUGGCGGGGAGUGGUAUCCCUGAGCUUUGGGUUGCCCCUUUUGCUCUGUUCUCUCUUGCCCUGAUUUCUCACCACUCUUUCAGAUGCUGAUGCAAAAUAUGGCCUCUCUCCCCAAAAGAAUGAACCUUCACACCACACAUAUGGCAUAUGGUUUCUGGGACUGGCACCCCAACUCCGCCCCCCGCCUUGGUGUCCUCUCUCCCAUCCCUGCUCCCCCGCAGCCUUGCUGGAUACCUUCUUGGUGCUGUGAAUGGCCACCCAGGUGCCACAACAACUCCCAGGUAGCUGGGCUCAGCUUUUCUGGCCUGAGCAUGAGGGUGGGGUGAGCUCAGAGGGUCAGCUGGAAUAUACAUCUAAGGAAAUCCAAGUGGACAGGGCAGAGGGGCCAGAGGUCAAGAUGAUGACUUGGAUUGGCCUUUGGGUUCAAGUCUGGGUGGUGU